CGUGUAGGCGGCCAUGUAGGUCCGGUGUGAAAACUCGAGGCUUAACCUCGAGAUGUCAUCGGAAACCAUUUGGCUAGAGUCCGGAAGAGGAGAGUGGAAUUCCUGGUGUAGCGGUGAAAUGCGCAGAUAUCAGGAAGAACACCAAUGGCGAAAGCAGCUCUCUGGGACGGUACUGACGCUGAGCGCAAGCGUGGGAGCGAACA
rnacentral:rRNA from 1 species